AAGCUGCUAGCUAAGCCAUCUACUCGCCCCACAAUUAAUUACAGAAAACUCGGGUGCAGUGUACAGACCCAAGAUUUUUAAAAGAAAUCAAAUGAUCAUAUCUUAAAACUUAUCAGUACGUUGAUUGAAUUUGUGGUGGUCCACUAGCUACCAUGUGACUGAACCAAAUAAAAGAAGAAGAAGAAUCAUCAAGGAAAGAGAAAAAGCUAUUUUGGGGAUUGAACAGAUCCCUUUUUCCAAAUCCAUUGUUAGCAGAAACAUAUGCUGCCCUUCAUGCAACUAUUCUGGGGAUUGAGCUGGGUUUCAAGAGGAUCGUACUAGAAGGGGAUGCUCUUCUUGUUAACAAGGCUAUUGAAAGCACAGAAACAACUUUGGACAGUAAAGGCCUGGUCAUUUGUGAUGUUAAAAAAAUGCUUUCUCAGUAUGAUAGCUAGGCUGUUAAACAUGUAAGGAGAGAAGCAAGCGUUGUUACUCAUGCUCUAGGACAAAAUGCAUUAUCUAUCUCUGAUGUCAUCGUUCACAUAGAGGAAGUUCCAUUUUGUAUUCAAUCUCUUUUAUAGAGUUUUUUUAACAAUAAAAGAUUUUCUUCCCCUAAAAAAAGAAUAGGAGGUGUUUGUAACUUCUUGGGGUCUAUAUUCAUGAUAUAUAUUGAAAUUCUAGCCAUUUUUAUUUUUCCUUCUGAAAAUAUGUUUAACUUGCACAGAUUAGUUCUCACAGAUGCCACACCUACACAACUAAGAAGCUGUGCUACAAGUGGAAAUAUAUGGGCUCCAGACAUGCCUACCCUAGGUUCCAUUUUAAGGGCUGCUUUUGAAAUAUAGAUGAUUAUACAAGAAUUGUGGAAAUCUUGCACUGAAGGUUCAGGGUAUUUUGUUUAUGUCUUUCUUUCCCUUGUAUUUUGCCAAAUUGAUAUUGAAGAAUAAUGAUGUGCGUAUUGUGAAAUGGAAAGAUUCACCAUAUAUUCUUUUCCAUUGAUUUCCUGGAUCUGCUCAAGUGCAUACUUGGGAACCCUUUAUUCCUUGCAUAUGCUUUUCCACCUCCGUACCAAUAAAAGGUAUUUUCCGAUCGGGUUAAAGCAAUACCCUCUAUGUUUGUUAUGCUGAAUGUCUAACUAUUCGAACAUGCAAUUUUUUCUUUUCAAACUGACAAAUUGUUGAACUUGACAAACUUGACAAAUUAUUGAGCUCCGAAACUGCUACGUUUUGAACGAAGGGAAAUUUGCAAUUGGUAAGAGAAAAUUGCAUGUUCCAAGGCCUUCUGUAUGCCUAUUAGUAGGAAUAGAUCGAAUCAUUAAUUAAUGUUUGGCAAACAUGAGCUCCCCAAUUAAUUAAUGCAAGAGCAUCUCUGUAUGCCUAUUAGUUUUCGAAAAUUGCAUGUUUGGCAUAAAAGAUUUAACAUGGAGGCUGCUUGGAUGCAAAAUCAGUCUAAUUUUGGUUUGAUGCUGUGGGAUAUGAUUAAGUAUAAAGAUGUUGAGUUAGUCUUAAUUUUCUAAAGUAUUGAUGGAGAAUAUGGCGAUGCAGGAAUCUUAGUUUGUAUAAAGCUACUGACUGGACUCCUUUGCGGAUCAUAAAUAUUGAUAGCUGUUUAGCAUAUGUUCACAGUUACAGAACACUGAAGUCAAGUAGAUGUUUAAAUGCAAGGGAAAAAAAAUUCUGAAAUGGCAAACACCUCCGGCCUAAAGGAUAAGCUGAGUUUUGAUGGGUCUUAGGAUUCACUUGAAGCUGGCUAUGAGCAGAAAGGAAGAGGCUGCUGCAGAUGUGGAGGCCAGUGCAGCACUUAAGAGGCCUACAAAUGGCCUUAUUCUAGCAACGAUCAAAUACCUGCUUCAGACUUUUUAUUUCCAUGAAGCAUCCCAUGUUUGUAGAGAAGGCAAUGGAGCUGCUCAUUUACUUGGUAUUCAUGCCAAAUGUAUCAAUGAUACUGCUGUAUGGUGGGAUUCUCCCCUGAUUUUAUUCUACGAAGGACUCUUGUAAAUGCUGCUAUGUAAUUACUUGAUUUAGUCAGUAAUGAAAUAUUCUAUAAUCGAAGAAAAAAGUUUGUUUA